rnacentral:rRNA from 1 species
AGCGAACGCUGGCGGCAGGCCUAACACAUGCAAGUCGAACGGACCCUUCGGGGUUAGUGGCGGACGGGUGAGUAACACGUGGGAACGUGCCUUUAGGUUCGGAAUAGCUCCUGGAAACGGGUGGUAAUGCCGAAUGUGCCCUUCGGGGGAAAGAUUUAUCGCCUUUAGAGCGGCCCGCGUCUGAUUAGCUAGUUGGUGAGGUAACGGCUCACCAAGGCGACGAUCAGUAGCUGGUCUGAGAGGAUGACCAGCCACACUGGGACUGAGACACGGCCCAGACUCCUACGGGAGGCAGCAGUGGGGAAUCUUGCGCAAUGGGCGAAGGCCUGACGCAGCCAUGCCGCGUGAAUGAUGAAGGUCUUAGGAUUGUAAAAUUCUUUCACCGGGGACGAUAAUGACGGUACCCGGAGAAGAAGCCCCGGCUAACUUCGCGCCAGCCGCCGUAACAC